rnacentral:rRNA from 1 species
ACGUAGGGUGCGAGCGUUAAUCGGAAUUACUGGGCGUAAAGGGUGCGCAGGCGGUUUUGUAAGCCAGAUGUGAAAUCCCCGGGCUUAACCUGGGAAUGGCAUUUGGGACUGCAAGGCUGGAGUGUGGCAGAGGAGACUGGAAUUCCUGGUGUAGCAGUGAAAUGCGUAGAUAUCAGGAGGAAUACCGAUGGCGAAGGCAGGUCUCUGGGCUAACACUGACGCUCAUGCACGAAAGCGUGGGGAGCAAACAGGAUUAGAUACCCUGGUAGUCCACGCCCUAAACGAUGUCGACUGGUUGUUGGGGGUUUGACACUCUCAGUAACGAAGCUAACGCGUGAAGUCGACCGCCUGGGGAGUACGGCCGCAAGGUUA